UAGGGAAUCUUCGGCAAUGGGGGGAACCCUGACCGAGCAACGCCGCGUGAGUGAAGAAGGUUUUCGGAUCGUAAAGCUCUGUUGUUAAGGAAGAACGAGUGUGAGAAUGGAAAGUUCAUGCUGUGACGGUACUUAACCAGAAAGGGACGGCUAACUACGUGCCAGCAGCCGCGGUAAUACGUAGGUCCCGAGCGUUGUCCGGAUUUAUUGGGCGUAAAGCGAGCGCAGGCGGUUAGAAAAGUCUGAAGUGAAAGGCAGUGGCUCAACCAUUGUAGGCUUUGGAAACUGUUUGACUUGAGUGCAGAAGGGGAGAGUGGAAUUCCAUGUGUAGAGGUGAAGUGCGUAGAUAUAUGGGGGAACACCGGUGGCGAAAGCGGCUCUCUGGUCUGUAACUGACGCUGAGGCUCGAAAGCGUGGGGAGCGAACAGG
rnacentral:rRNA from 1 species